ACUGGAAUUUCUGGGUCAUAUGGUAACACUGUUUUAACUUUUGAGAAAUUGAGAAACUUUUUUCCAAAGUGGCUGCACCAUUUUACAUUCCUACCAGCAAU
rnacentral:pre_miRNA from 1 species